rnacentral:rRNA from 1 species
CCUACGGGUGGCAGCAGUGGGGGAUAUUGCACAAUGGGGAAACCCUGAUGCAACGACGCCGCGGGAGUGGAGAAGUAUUUCCGGAUGUAAAGCUCCAUUAGCAGGGAAGAAAAUGACAGUACCUGACCAAGAAGCCACCGCUAACUACGUGCCAGCAGGCGCGGGAAUACGUAGGGGGCAAGCGUUAUCCGGAUUUACUGGGUGGAAAGGGAGCGUAGGCGGGGAUGUAAGUCAGAAGUGAAAGCCCGGGGCCUAACCCUGGGACUGCUUUGGAAACUGUGUUUCUGGAGUACAGGAGGGGCAGGCGGAAUUCCUGGUGUAGCGGUGAAAUGCGUAGAGAUCAGGAGGAACACCGGCGGCGAAGGCGGCCUGCUGGACCGAAACUGACGUUGAGGCGCGAAAGCGUGGGGAGCAAACAGGAUUAGAUACCCCUGUAGUC